CUUGAGUUGGUGAAAGGGGUGAGAUCGAGUGCCCAAGUGGAGGGGUUGGCCUGGGAUAGGAGCACGGACAGUUCAGCCAGAGAAGUGAUAACGAGCAUGGAGGACAGGUGCAUGGCGCCGGCGUAUGGCACCUCUGCAUGGCAAAGGAAGAAAGGAAGGAAGGAAAGAAGACAGGAAGGAAAGAAGGAAGGUGGAGAAGAUUUUAGAAGGUCUGCCGAGAGCAGCUGGACUGAGCGAUCGACAGAGGACCUCAUGCCACAUGUGCUGAUCACAGUAGAACCUGUGAAUUCGAUUUUAUUAAGAAUGUUGAUGGACAUGACCAAUACAUUAGAAAUAUACAAAUAUCUCACCACAGCAGCGCUUUCUGUGAUUUUCACUCUAAGACUACAACAGUGUGAAAGACAGUGCACAAGAGUCAUCUAGCAUUGUGCUGCCUCUUCCAGAACACAAAGAUAACAAGGAAGCAGCAGGGAACAGAGGAGCCUCCAUCUGCAAGGAUGAAUGUGAUAAUGGUGGGGUGGCUCCUACCUGCUUUACGUCCUCAUAACGGUUCAGAUGGAUCGCAUCUCUGGAUUUCUGCAUCUUGUAGCCAGCCACGAGGCAUGGCCACACACUUUUGGGUAGCUGAAGCUAAAGCACUUAUUUAGGUGGUUGACUAAUUGUGCCUUUAUGUUGCCUUCUGGAUAGAAGGAGGAAGAAGAGGAGGAGGAAGGAACCUUUAUGCCCAUUGUUUUUUACUAGGCUGCC
rnacentral:lncRNA from 1 species